rnacentral:rRNA from 1 species
AUGAGUUGUUUAUUCCGAGGGGCGGGGAACUCUCGUACAGUUCGUGACCUCCAGGCUCUAUGUCGAGCCCAUUCCCCGAAGCUGGUGUUUUUAUGUGAAACUAGACAAUCAAAGCAGAAAAUGGUGAGAGUUCGCAAUAGACUCGGUCUCAAGGGUUUUGAAGGUGUGAGUAGCCAGGGAAAGAGUGGUGGAUUAGCCUUAUAUUGGGAUGAAUCUGUACUGGUCAACAUACAGGAUGUAAACGAACGAUGGAUUGAUGCUUUUGUUAGACUUUCUGUUGACGAGCCGUUAUGGCGGGUGACUUUUGUCUAUGGAGAACCACAGGUGGAAAACAGACACUUCAUGUGGGAGAGUUUAUGCCGACUCAGAGGCACGUGA